GACGAACGCUGGCGGCGUGCUUAACACAUGCAAGUCGAACGGAAAGGCCCUGCUUUUGUGGGGUGCUCGAGUGGCGAACGGGUGAGUAACACGUGAGUAACCUGCCCUUGACUUUGGGAUAACUUCAGGGAACUGGGGCUAAUACCGGAUAGGAGCUCCUGCUGCAUGGUGGGGGUUGGAAAGUUUCGGCGGUUGGGGAUGGACUCGCGGCUUAUCAGCUUGUUGGUGGGGUAGUGGCUUACCAAGGCUUUGACGGGUAGCCGGCCUGAGAGGGUGACCGGCCACAUUGGGACUGAGAUACGGCCCAGACCCCUACGGGAGGCAGCAGUGGGGAAUAUUGCACAAUGGGCGGAAGCCUGAUGCAGCAACGCCGCGUGCGGGAUGACGGCCUUCGGGUUGUAAACCGCUUUCGCCUGUGACGAAGCGUGAGUGACGGUAAUGGGUAAAGAAGCACCGGCUAACUACGUG
rnacentral:rRNA from 1 species